AUUUAAAUAGUUUAAAUAUAAAAUAUUAGUUUGUGGAACUAAAGAUAUAUAAUGUAUUUUAAAUA
rnacentral:tRNA from 1 species